rnacentral:rRNA from 1 species
UACGUAGGGUGCAAGCGUUGUCCGGAAUCAUUGGGCGUAAAGCGCGCGUAGGUGGCUUCGUAAGUCCGUUGUGAAAGUCAAAAGGCUCAACCUUUGAAUGCCGAUGGAUACUGCGAAGCUAGAGUACGGAAGAGGCGAGUGGAAUUCCUGGUGUAGCGGUGGAAUGCGCAGAUAUCAGGAGGAACACCAAUAGCGAAGGCAGCUCGCUGGGACGUUACUGACACUAAGGCGCGAAAGCGUGGGGAGCGAACAGG